AUACGAAGGUCCCAAGCGUUAUUCGGAAUCACUGGGCGUAAAGAGUACGUAGGCGGUUUGGUAAGUCAGGUGUGAAAUCCCGGAGCUCAACUCCGGAACUGCAUCCGAUACUGCCAGACUUGAGUAAUGGAGAGGCAGGUGGAAUUCUCGGUGUAGCAGUGAAAUGCGUGGAUAUCAAGAGGAAGACCAAUGGCGAAGGCAGCCUGCUGGACAUUUACUGACGCUCAGGUACGAAGGCUAGGGGAGCGAAAGGGAUUAGAAACCCCAGUAGUCC
rnacentral:rRNA from 1 species